rnacentral:rRNA from 1 species
UUGACUGUGCUAAGGUAGCAUAAUAAAUUGGCUUUUAAUUGAAGUCGGGAAUGAAAGGGUGUUUGGAGUUAUUCUGUCUUAUUUUUAUUUUUUAAAAAUUACUAAUGAGGUGAAAAUUCCUCAUGUUUUUUGAUAGACGAGAAGACCCUAAGAAUUAUUACAACUUAUUAAAAUAAUUUAAUAAAAGUUUUUGUUGGGGCAACAACUUUGGAAACAAUAACCAAAGAAUUUACUAUAACAUAAAAAGAUUGUAUUAAAAAUGAAUUUAAUUACCUUAGGGAUAACAGCAUAAUUAUAUUUUAGAUUGUGACCUCGAUGUUGGAUUAAGGCCU